UCGAUACUGUCUUGGGGGUAAGUCUCAUUCCUAUGUCAAAAUUAUAAUAAUUGAAUUACUAAUCUAAUCCAUUGAUUCAAAUUUCUUACAUUUUCAGUUUUAUUUCAUCUGCUUUCAAAAAAAAAAAAAAAAAAAAGAAAGAAUUACAGCAGUCUAAAUUUUGUUUGUGAGCAAGUUUAUUGAAAUACACUUGUUCUAAAGCAAAAUAACUGUAGAUAUAUUUUACUAUGAAUGUUAUACAACUUACAUAAAUGAAUUUUAGCAAUAAUUGUCAUGGUAAAUUAUGUAUCAUGACACUCACCUAUAUUCUUUCAUUGAUGAGAUAAAAAUCAUGCUCUAGUUCAGAUCAAUGCUUUCAUCAACCCACACCAUUUCAUUUGAAAACUUUGUUAGGACAAAUAUUUAUGAAACCUUGAUAUCAUGAUGUUUUAUUAAGAUGUUUUAUGUGUGAAGAAAUGUAGGCGGAUUCCUAAGAUUAAAGGAAAAAAGAAUUAGCUUAAAUAUUUUGUUCCGUUUGAGUACCUGUAGAAAAUAUCAUCUGUGGAUAGAUGUCUGAACCAGAAAAAAAUAGUUGUUUGUUGUUGAGAUCAAAAUUUCAUUUUUUUGUAUUUGUUUCUUUUGAUUUAUAUUCUAAAAGUUGAUAGAUUUAACAACUAUCAAAUUUAACAAUACUUGUGUAAUCUUCACUUCACCUGUAAAUAACUAGUUUUUAAUUUAGAUUUUUGCUUUAUUUCUAUUGUAAAAGAGCUCUUUUUGCUACUUAGUGAAAAUCCAUUGUAUAAUUUUUUUCAAUAAAUUUAUUACUGUUAUAAGCUGAAGCAUUAACUAAGUUUGUAAGUCAAGCUAACUCUAUUGAUUUGCUUGUAAUUCUACAAUAUUUUCUUUAAAAUUUUUCUGUCAAAGUAUAGAAUGAAUUUAAAAUAAUUUAGCCUGUGGAAGAUUCCUAGCUGUCAUAGACAAAAAAAUGAAAUAGUUUGGUGAGCUAAAUAGUUAACAUUUGGUUUGAACAUUUGAAAGUUAGUUGUUGAGUAAAAAACAUGGUCAGUUGUUGCAUAGCCCUGGGCCAUUUCUGAUUACAGAGAUUCAACGAGGAAUGAUUAGAGGAGAAGUGGUGAGAUAAGUGUGUCUAGGCUGGGGAGAUUUACACUUAGAAAAUUCAGAGGACUAUUGUAAUAACAGUAGAUACAUUAUGAGCAUUGGGCAAGUAAUUGAAGUGUAUUGUGAAUUUGUUCAUUAUACUGAGAGAGUUAUUUUAUGUCAUUAUAUAUAUAUAUAUAUAUAUACGCGAGAAAGAAGCAACAAGAAUGGAUAGGUUUUUAGUACAAUCGUUUCAUACAAGGACAGGCUUUAUUAAAAGUUGCAAAAAUUACAGCAUAUAAACGUGUCCCGUACUCAUCAGCUAAAAUACAUGUGAGUUCUCUAGACAUCCUAUUGGUUGAGGCUAUACUCAUGAAGUAAUGUAGAUAAUUAAGUAACAUAAACAGAUUUCCAAAGUUCAUUAAAAACCUAUCCAUUGUACUAAAAACCUAUCCAUUCUUGUUGCUUCUUUCUCGCUUAUAAUCACCCCACAUUACUGUAUUGUUAAAACAGUAUAGUUUUUUUUGGUGCAUCUAAGUUAGGUACCAUAUUCAAGUAAAUUCAUUUAAAUUAACUUGAAUCUUCAUUGCUUUUUGUAUAUAUAUAUAUAUAUAUAUAUAUAUAUAUAUAUAUAUAUAUAGAGUUAGUUUAGAUGAGAUGCAGUUUGGGUUCGUGCAAGGGAAAAGUACCACGGAUGCUAUAUUCCUGGUAAGGCAGCUGCAGGAGAAAUACCUAGCCAAAGAUAAGCCCCUGUACCUGGCUUUUGUUGACAUGGAGAAAGCUUUUGAUAGGGUCCCCCGAUCCCUUAUCUGGUGGUCAAUGAGGAAACCAGGGAUAGAUGAAUGGCUGGUGAGGACUGUGCAAGCCAUGUACAGAGAUGCCGUAAGUAAGGUUAGGGUUAGCAACAUGUACACAGAAGAAUUCAAAGUAGAGGUUGGGGUCCACCAGGGUUCAGUACUCAGUCCCCUCCUAUUUAUCAUAGUCCUACAGGCAAUUAUGGAGGAAUUCAAGACAGGUUGUCCCUGGGAGCUCCUCUACGCUGACGACCUUGCUCUUAUUGCUGAGUCACUAUCAGAGCUGGAGGAGAAGUUCCAGGUGUGGAAGGAGGGUUUAGAAUCGAGGGGCCUUAGAGUCAACCUAGCUAAAACCAAAGUACUAAUAAGUAGGAAGGUAGACAAUCCACAAAUGUCUUCAGGAAGAUGGCCCUGCUCGAUCUGUAGAAAAGGUGUAGGUAGAAACUCUAUAAGAUGUACCCAGUGUAAGCUAUGGACACAUAAGAGGUGCAGCAAUGUCAAAGGUAGGCUAACUGGGAAGAUAGUUUUUGUAUGUGGCAGAUGCUCAGGAGCAUUAACCUCCGAAAAUCUGCAGAAAAUAACUUCAGUCACUUUCCAAGGGGAAAAACUAGAAGUAGUUGAUAGCUUCCGUUAUCUAGGUGACCAAGUCAGUAGUGGGGGUGGGUGCGCUGAAAGUGUAACUGCUAGAAUAAGAAUAGCCUGGGCAAAGUUUAGGGAGCUCUUACCUCUGCUGGUGACUAAAGGCCUCUUGCUCAGAGUAAAAGGCAGACUGUAUGAUGCGUGUGUACGAACAGCCAUGCUACAUGGCAGUGAAACAUGGGCCGUGACUGCCGAGGACAUGCGUAAGCUCGUGAGGAAUGAAGCCAGUAUGCUCCGAUGGAUGUGUAAUGUCAGUAUACAUACUCGACAGAGCGUUAGCACCUUGAGAGAAAUGUUGUACCUAAGAGGCAUCAGUUGUGGUGUGCAAGAGAGACGAUUGCGUUGGUAUGGUCAUGUGGCGAGAAUGGAUGAAGAUACGUGUGUGAGAAAGUGCCAAUCCUUAGCAGUUGAGGGAACCCGUGGAAGAGGUAGACUCAGGAAAACCUGGGACGAGGUGGUGAAGCACGACCUUCGAACUUUAGGCCUCACUGAGGAAAUGACCAGCGACCGAGACCUUUGGAAAUAUUCUGUACGUGAGAAGACCAGGCAGGACAAGUGAGCCCAGCCCACUUAUGAAUGCCUUUCCUCCCUUGGACACAAAGACCUGUUGAGGCAAGCGAAGUCGAUAUAGAACCUCAUCCGACGACAGGCACCCAUGCCAACCCCCUUUGCUUGCGAAGACAUGUUGGGGCAAGCGAAAUCGAAGUCAAAAUCGAAUUGAACCAGCCAGGAUCCCUGGUCUGGUGGUACGUAAAAAGCACUAUCCGACUCGUGGCCGAUGCCAGCGCCGCCUCCACUGGCUUCUGUGCCGGUGGCACGUAAAAUACACCAAUCUGACCGUACGACAGGCACCCAUGCCAACCCCCUUGCUUGCGAAGACAUGUUGGGGCAAGCGAAAUCGAAUUGAACCAGCCAGGUUCCCUGGUCUGGUGGUAUGUAAAAAGCACUAUCCGACUCGUGGCCGAUGCCAGCGCCGCCUCCACUGGCUUCCGUGCCGGUGGCACGUAAAAUACACCAAUCUGACCGUAUAACAUGCCCCCAUGCCAACCCCCCUUGCUUGCGAAGACAUGUUGGGGCAAGCGAAAUCGAAAUCGAAUUGAACCAGCCAGGAUCCCUGGUCUGGUGGUACGUAAAAAGCACCAUCCGACUCGUGGCCGAUGCCAGCACCGCCUCGUCUGGCUUCCAUGCUGGUGGCAUAUAAAAUACACCAAUCCGACCGUGGCCGUUGCCAGCCUCGCCUGGCACCUGUGCAGGUGGCACGUGAAAAGCACCCACUACACUCACGGAGUGGUUGGCGUUAGGAAGGGCAUCCAGCUGUAGAAACACUGCCACAUAAGACUGGAGCCUGGUGCAGCCUUCUGGCUUCCCAGAUCCCCGGUCGAACCGUCCAACCCAUGCUAGCAUGGAGAACGGACGUUAAACGAUGAUGAUGAUGAUGAUGAUGAUGAUAUAUAUAUAUAUAUAUACACACAUGCAAGUCACAUAAUAUGGAUUCAAGUAAUCUGGUAGUGCGCAUAAAAAAUGUAUUUUUUGCAUUAAUUUAGGCAUGUAAGUAAUUUAUUUAUUAUUAAAUAUAAUAAUAUAAAUUAUUUAUGUUUUUAAGUUAUGAAACAACUUCUUCCAGUUUCCGUCUACCAAAUCCACUCACAAAGCUUUGGUCAGCCUGAGGCUAUAGUAAAAGACACUUGCCCAAGGUGCCAUGCAGUGGGACUGAACCUGGGACCAUGUGGUUGGUAAGCAAGCUACUUACCACACAGCCACUCCCGUGCCUGUCUUGUUAAAUAAAAUUUCAUCAAACUAUUUCUCUCUCAUUUGUGACUUUUAUAUAUAUAUAAUCUUCAUCAGUCAAUGUCCAAAAGAUCAUCACAAUUUCACACCUCUAUAUAUAUAUAUAUAUAUAUUAUUGUCAAUCACCCAUCUUCGUGUCAUCAUAUGUUCUGUAUAAAAUAGUAUCAGCCAGUUGCAAGUCUUCACUAAACAGUUUUUAAUUCAGAGAUUUUCUCCUCUGAGAUGGAUUGUCUUCACUACAACUAGUGAGCACCAUCUACCCUUGACUAUGCUGGAUGAUUGUUUACUCUCCUGAAUUCCUCCACCUUUUCACAACUCUUGCUUUUCAUCCUGCAAGGUGUUCAAAAAUUACCCCUAUAUAUAUAUAUAUAUAUAUAUAUAUAUAUAUAUAUAUAUAUAUAUAAAUGUGUGGAGAAGGCAAAUAAAAAAAUGGAGGAGAACAUUGUCUUUAAACUAGUACAAGCAAUAGUAAAGAAAGUACACUUAGUUUAUCAUAAAAAAUACUAAUGGUUGACUGCAGCUAAAACCUGAGUGAAUGGUAAGGAGUGGUAGUUGACCCCCACCAGCCUUCAGCUACAAGGAUUGGCAUAUAUUCAUUCAUUCGUUCAAUUGUUAACUACCUGUUAGUAUCUCUCUUGAGGAUUGUCUAUAUUAAUUUAUUUUAGUCUAUCUAGAACAUCUACUUAUUUAUAACUGCUGGCAGAACACAGGGAAAAUUUCUUCACUGCAAUGUCCAUGAACAUCAUCAUCGCUUUACAUUCUAUUUUUUAAUGCUGGCAUAAUGUUGGAUGUGUUCGCUCCAGCAUAGUUGCAUUCCCUCAUCAUGAACUUUCUGAGGUCCAACAUCCUGAUUUUAAAUCUCGCCACAUCUAACGUCUUUUACUGUCCACACUUUCUGCCGGUCUCUUCCACUUAGUUCAUUUGAUACUUCUUCACCCAAAGAUGAUCUUUGGAUCUCUUAAUACUUCUUUAUCUGAAGGUCAUCUUUUAUAUGCAAUAUAAUGCUUGUACUAGUGCAAUAUUCUCAUGCUGUCAGUGCCCAUGUCUCAUUACCACCAUGCAAUAUCAUAUGUUGUAUACAAGCAUUACAUACUUUCCUCUUCACUCAGAGAAGCCUUUUGUUACCAACAAAAUUACUAUAUAUCCCUGAACUUUUUCCAUCCCAUCCUUAUUCUGGCAGCUCUGCUUUUGUAACAAUUACCUCCACUACUAAUUGGGUCUCUUCAGUAACAGAAGCAUGUCAACAAAUACUUUUAAUAUUGCAAUUUGGGGAUAAUGACGUUGUUGGCUACAGGUCUCCAGGCCCAGUCAUUGAAUUGCUGCAUACACACACACACGCAUGCACACUCUCUCUUUCUCUCUUUCUCUCUCUCUCUCUCCCUCUCUCUCAUUUUAUAUAUAUAUAUAUAUAUAUAUAUAUAUAUAUAUAUAUAUAUAUAGGCCAUAGUAGGAGAUGUUAAAUCUUGCUACAUUGUUGUGUUUUUGAGCAAGGCACUUUAUUUCAUGUUGCUCCAGUUUACUCAGCUGUAGAAAUGAGUUGUGAUGUCACUGGUGCCAAGCUGUAUCGGCCUUUGCCUUUCCCUUGGAUAACACUGGUGGCAUGGAGAGAGGAGGCCGGUAUGCAUGGGCAACUGCUGGUCUUCCAUAAACAACCUUGCCUGGACUUGUGCCUGGGAGGGUAACUUUCUAGUUGCAAUCCCAUGGUCAGUCAUGACUGAAGGGGAUCUCAGUAGGAGAUACUUGUGCAAAAUACCAUGCAGUAUGAUUAAGUCUGAAACCAUGUGGUUGCUUUCCUUGCCAACAUACCCUUAAUAACCAUUUCAACGAUAUAACAGUCAAACUUGAUAGCUUGUAAGCUCAUUAUCAGUCGAAUAGCAGAAUCACUGGCACACUCUUUAUGUUCUAAGUUUAAAUGCUGAUUAACUUUGUCUUUUGUAUUACAAGAAUCAAUAAAAUGUGUGCCAGUCAACAAUUGAGGUUUGAUAUGAUUGCUCAUACCCUCUCUGAAAAAACUCACUAAUAAUCAGGGUCAAUUCAGUAGACCUUGCUCUUUCAAAUUUCUCUUGUACUAAUAGCCAAUAAAAAAAGAGCAAGAAGUUCACAAUUUCUUAUUUCUCCUUCCCUAUAACCAUACGGCUUCAAGCUUAAUUAAAAAAUUAUCUCUACAUUAUUAUUAUUGAAUGCCUUUGAUUAGAUAGCUCAGAAUCUUUUUUUUUUAUCAUUCCUAGUACAUGGGUUAAAAGCCAUAUUUUAAAAUUCUUUUUCUUUUACUGUGUCAGGUUCCUUAGGGAGAUAUUUAAACUUGCUUUCUUUGCAAAAGCACUUCAUGCUUCAGUAAGGUUUCCCAUUGAUUAUAUCAAUAGAAUCAUGUCUUGAGAUUUAGUGAUCCUUCAAUUUCAAAAAUUUUGAAAAGUACCAUUGUUGAAUAGUGGGUGAUAUAUUGGGUUGUCCAGAAAGUUCGUGCCGAUUUUUAAAGGAAAGAAAAAGGUCAAUAAAUACUUGCCAUUACAUUUUUAAUCAACCAAAUAUGAACCAUUUUGUUGAACAAUGUGUCUCCAUCUUUCCUUUAACUUGAAAAUACCCUCUUCCCAGAAUUGAGGUGGUUUCAUGGCAAAGAAUUCAUCAAGGUAUCUUUUUAUGUCAUCCAAGGAAUUGAAAUUUUUACCACUAAGACUAUUCUGCAGAGACCUGGAUAAGUGGAAAUCCGAAGGAACAAUAUCUGGUGAAUAUGGAGGGUGGGGUAACACAUCCCAGCCGAGCUGAAGCAAUUUUUGUCUGGUUUCCAAAGCAUCAAGUGCCGAAAAUGAACUUUCUUAUCUUCCAUUUUAAAGGGUUACAGAAUUAAUACAUAAACCUUCUUCCACGAAAAGAUAGCUUAAACUGUGCUCUAAAUGAAGGUGUAAUCAAAUCCUAUUUUAUGGACUCAGCCAUGUUCUAAAAUAAGUUGAAAGGUAAGCUACUAUAAAUUGGCACAAACUUUCCGGACAACCCAGUAGUUUUCUUCAACAUCCUUUCAUUCUCAGUUUUUCUCUUAAUCUUUUGAACAUUUGUUUGGGUAUUAUUAUUCCAAGUACUUCCUUCUGUUUUCAUGUUCCAGAAUUUUUUUUACUUCUCUGAACAAUUUCAGUUUUCUUCUGAUCUUUUUGGUUUAUUUUACUUUCGAUUCAAGUAUCAUGUCACAUAAUAUAUAAGCAGAGUUUUCUGCUAUGGUUCUAUCCAGUAUCUUUGCAUGCUCAGUUUGCCUUGAUAAAUGUCACAGCAGCUAACAAUCUCAGAUAUGAAGUUCAGUGCACCAUAAUAUAAAAAUAAAUCAGAAUAAUAACAAUACUGAAAAUUAAAAUAAAUUAUUGCUGUUUUUUCAUAAUUAUUAGAAGGUUCUCAUUGAAGAUGAAAGGAAAGGUCUAUAGGAGUUGUGUGAGAGCUGCAGUGCUGUCUGGGAGAGAGAGAUGGCAAUUUUGAGAAGGACUGAGAGAGCAAUGGUGAGAGAAAUGUGUGGAAUGAGGCUUUUUGGUAAGAGGAGGACUGAGAACUUGAUGGGGAUGCUGGGGUUGGCAGAAUCAGUGGAAUGGCUAGCAAGGGUGAAUGGAGUUCAGUGGUAUGGGCAUGUCUACAAUUUGAGGUAAAUGGACAGCGAAAGCAAGGUAGACUGAAGAAAAUGUGGAGGAGGAGAUUGGGAGGGUUGGCUUGAGAAGGGAGGAUGCCCAAAACCGGGCAAGAUAGUGUGAGGGCAAUUGCUAUGGCAUUGAAGUAGAUCCGGCCACCCCUGUUAACUGGGAUAAAACCCAGAUUUAAAAUGAUGGAUGAUGAUGAUUAGUUGCUAUUGUUGUACAGUGGUAAGCUGGCAGAAUCAUUGGCAUGCCAGGCAAAAUGCUUUCAUCUGUCUAUAUGUUCUAAGUUCAAAUCCUGUUGAGGCUGACUUUGUCUUUUAUCCUUCCAGGGUUGAUAAAAUAAGUACCAGUUGAGCACUGGGGUCAAUGUGAUCAACUUAACUACUCUUAGGUGAGGAUAUAAAAACUGCACCCCUCUUCCAAGCCACAUUAAGCCAGUGUGGCAGAGUAGGAUUUCAAGCUCAAAUUUACAGCCUUCACAUCAGACCAUGGUUGAUGGAGAGAACAUGCUGAGACCUUCAUCCUGCAGUGGACUGAACAUAGGCAACCCAAUCAACCCAAUUGUUGUAGCAAUGAAUUACCAUAUCUCGUUGGGUAUUUGAUUUCAAAUCCUACUGGGUUUGGUUUGGCUAUUUAUCUGUAUUGUUUUGCUUAAAAAUUGCAUUCCAGUUUAUCCAAUUUACUAUAUUUAUUUCUCUUAGGAAAAGGAAAAAGAAGCUCAUUGACUUGUAUGAUGAGCAAAUUCAUCAUAAUCAGCUUUGUUGUUGCUUUUAUUAUAAUAAUAAUAAUAAUAAUAAUAAGUUGUUAUUUAACCUCUGUCAGUCCUGAUGAAGCAGACCUAAAAUAAAAUAUGCUUCACCCAUGAAUAUUCUUAUUCUUGUGUGCAGGGACCCAGGAUUACAUUAUCUGACGUAUUCUCUCCUAAGAUGGUACUAUAUGGUUUGAAGGAGAUUUAGUUGCUAUUUCUAGUAGGUCAAACAAUCAUGCAGAGGCUCCUUCAUUGGCUUGUGUAAUAGUUAAUCAUCAUCAUCAUUUAACGUCCGCUUUCCAUGCUAGCAUUGGUUGGACGAUUUGACUGAGGGCUGGCAAACCAGAUGGCUGCACCAGGCUCCAAUCUGAGCUGGCAGAGUUUCUACAGCUGGAUGCCUUUCCUAAUGCCAACCACUCCGAGAGUUGUGGGUGCUUUUAUGUGCCAGCGGCAUGAGGGCCAUUCAGGCGGUAUUGGAAACAGCCACGCUCAAAUGGUGCUUUUUACGUGCCACCUGCACAGGAGCCAGUCCAGCGGCACUGGCAACUACCUCGCUCAAAUGUUAUUUCACGUGCCACCAGCACAAGUGCCAGUAGGGCGACACUGGUAAUGAUGCUUUUUAUGUGCCACCGGCAUGGAAACCAGUCAGCUGCUCUGGCAACGAUCAUGCUCGGAUGGUGCUCUUAGUGCUCCACUAGCACAGAUGCCACUCAUCAAAUUUGAUUUCAAUUUCACUUGCCUCAGCAGGUCUUCACAAGCAGAGUUUAGUGUCCAAUGAAGGAAAGGUACGCAUAAGUGAGCUGGUUGCACCCCUGGCAUAGGCCACGGGUUAUUGUCUCACUUGGCUUGCCGGCUCUUCUCAAGCACAGCACAUUUUCAAAGGUCUCAGUCACUAGUCAUUGCUUUGGUGAGGCCUAAUGUUCGAAGGUCAUGCUUCACCACCUAAUCCCAGGUCUUCCUGGGUCUACUUCUUCCACAGGUUUCCUCAACUGCUAGGGUGAGGCACUUUUUCAACAGCUAUCCUCAUCCAUUCUCGCCACAUGAUCAUACCAACGCAGUCGUCUCUCUUGCACGCCAUAUCUGAUGCUUCUGAGGUCCAACUUUUCUCUCAAGGUACUUACACUCUGAUGAGUAUGCACACUGACAUUACACAUCCAUUGGAGCAUGCUGGCUUCAUUCCUUGUGAG
rnacentral:lncRNA from 1 species